rnacentral:lncRNA from 1 species
AGUAAAUAUCUACUGCGGUGUUCUGACCGACGCUGGCAUGAUCUUUUGCCAUCGUCACGUCCAGCCCCACCACCCAAUAAAACAAGAAGGUUAAAACCUAUAGGAAAAAAUGAAGUAGAUUAGAAAAGAAGCAUCACAUGAGGAAUCGAGCAAACAGAGAAGGAAUACAUACAAAUAUAUACCAUGUAAAUUGGGAGGUGGACGCGUUCAAACCAGGUGUUAUUGGUCGGCUGGACGAUGCCAGAACACUGAUCUUUCCUUGUAGAUUUGCGAAACUUUCGGCGUUUAGUGAUCUUGCGCCGAAAGUUUUCGCAGCGGUAGACAAACCCGAAUUUCGUGCGAGCGUCCCUCUCAACGUAGGUUGAGGCUAAAAACAAAAUCAAAAAGUAGUUAUCAACAUAUAAAAGAAGAGCUGAGCAGGCAUAAAGGAAUAGGCAGAAAACAAAACGAAAAUUUGCAUAACUUCACAAUGAGGACAUUUCGGCAUGUUCUCGCACGAAUUUGGAUGAGGGACGAGACCGACUCGGAAGCAAAGUUGGCGAUUGUGUUCUUCAUUGUCGGGAAAGAAACGACAGAUGUUAUAGAGCAAUAAGCCAUCAAAAGGAUUGUCAGAAAGAAAAGUUUCAGCUGUCAUGUUUUGUAAUACGAAUUAGCACUAGUAAU